GGAAGUGCGUGCCGGACUGGUGCCGGCCUCGGUCUUCAAAACCGAUGAAGCUCUGCGCGAGCAGCGGCUUGGUGGGUUCGAUUCCCAUGCGCUUCCGCCA
rnacentral:tRNA from 2 species